AAUUUAUUUUUUUUUUAAAAAAUUUAAUUAUUUAAAAUAAUAAUAAAAUUUAAUAGUUUAAGUAUUAUAUAAAGAAUAAAUAAUUUUAAUAAUAGUUUAUUAGUAUUGUGAAAUAAAAUUGAAAUAUAAUGAAAAAUUUUUAUUUUAAAAGAAAAUUUUAUUUAUUGUAUCUUGUGUAUCAGAGUAUAUUAAAUAAAAAAUAUUUAUAUAUUUUUCUCGAUUUUAAAAGAUUUAAUAAAUUAAAAAUGUUAAUGUGAUAAAAUUAUAUUUAAUAAUUUAUUAGAAAUGAAAUGUUAUUCGUUUUUAAAGGUAUCUAGUUUUUUAAGAAAUAAAUUUAAUUUAAUUUUCAAAAUUUACUUAUUUAUUUAUUUAAUUAAUUAAUUUUUGAAAUUUAAUAUUUUAUGGGAUAAGCUAUAAAAUAAAUUUUUAUAAAUAAUAAAUAAUAUUUAAAAUUUAAUAUGUUUAAAAGUAUCAAUUUUUAUUAAAUUUGUUAUAAAUUAAUUUUUUUUUAUAAAUUAUUUAUUAUAUUUUAAUUUUUUAUUAAAAUAUUUAUUUUAAUAUUAAAAAUAAAGUAAUAAUGAUAUAAUUAGUAUAUAAUUUUUGUAAAAAUAUAUUUUAAAUUGAAAAGUUUAUGUAAAGAAUUCGGCAAAAAUAAUGUUCGCCUGUUUAACAAAAACAUGUCUUUUAGAAAUUAAUUUAAAGUCUGACCUGCCCACUGAAUUUUUUUUAAAUGGCCGCAGUAUAUUAACUGUGCAAAGGUAGCAUAAUCAUUAGUCUUUUAAUUGAAGGCUGGAAUGAAUGGUUGGACGAAAUAUUAACUGUUUCAUUUAAAUUUAUAAUAGAAUUUUAUUUUUUAGUCAAAAAGCUAAAAUAAAUUUAAAAGACGAGAAGACCCUAUGAAUCUUUAUAUAUGUUAUAUUUUAAUUUUGUAGAUUAAUUUAAUUAUAAUAUUAAUUAUAUAUUUUAUUGGGGUGAUAUUAAAAUUUAAAUAACUUUUAAAAUUUAAAUCAUUGAUUUAUGAAUAAAUGAUCCAUUUUUAAUGAUUAAAAAUUUAAGUUACUCUAGGGAUAACAGCGUAAUUUUUUUGGAGAGUUCAUAUCGAUAAAAAAGAUUGCGACCUCGAUGUUGGAUUAAGAAAUAAUUUUAGGUGUAGCCGUUUAAAUUUAAAGUCUGUUCGACUUUUAAAAUCUUACAUGAUCUGAGUUCAAACCGGUGUAAGCCAGGUUGGUUUCUAUCUUUAAUAAAUUAAUAUAUUUUAGUACGAAAGGAUUGAAUAUAUAAAUAAUUAUAUUUUAAUUAAAGAAUAUAAAUAAUUGAUUAUAA
rnacentral:rRNA from 1 species